GACGAACCGUGCGAACGCUGUUCGGAAUCACUGGGCUUAAAGGGCGCGUAGGCGGGCUUGAUAGUCCGUGGUGAAAGCCCCCGGCUUAACCGGGGAAGUGCCAUGGAUACUGCAAGCCUGGAGGAGGGUAGGGGCAUCUGGAACGCUGGGUGGAGCGGUGAAAUGCGUUGAUAUCCAGCGGAACUCCGGUGGCGAAGGCGAGGUGCUGGACCCUUUCUGACGCUGAUGCGCGAAAGCCAGGGGAGCAAACGGG
rnacentral:rRNA from 1 species